GCAGCCCAGCCCUGACCCUGCAGCUCUGGGAAAGGAGCCCAGCCCAGGAUUAACACGUGUCCCCAGUCCCUGCUCAGGACAGAACACAGACCACUCACCAUGGAGUUUUGUCUCAGCUGGGUUUUCCUUGUUACUGUUUUAACAGGUGUCCAGUGUGAUGUGCAGCUGGUGGAGUCUGGGGGAGGCUUGGUGAAGCCUGGGGGGUCUCUGAGACUCUCCUGUGCAGCCUCUGGAUUCACCUUCAGUAGCUACUACAUGAACUGGGUCCGCCAGGCUCCAGGGAAGGGGCUGGAGUGGGUCUCACAGAUUAGUAGUAAUGGUGGUAGCACAUACUACGCCAACUCUGUGAAGGGCCGAUUCACCAUCUCCAGAGACAACGCCAAGAACGAGCUCUACCUGCAAAUGAACAGCCUGAGAGCCGAAGACACGGCCGUCUAUUACUGUGCGAGAGACACAGUGAGGGGAAGUCAGUGUGAGCCCAGACACAAACCUCCCAGAGGGAGACAAGAAGGCUGCCCUGCAGGGGCUGCUCCCGACACCAGGGGGCGAUCAGGACACACUCAUUUCUUGGUUCAGUUCCAGAACCUAGGCAGAUACACAGUAACUCUUGGUUUCCUGGCAGCUGUGGUUUAA